rfam:Gossypium hirsutum cultivar TM-1 chromosome 21, whole genome shotgun sequence
UGUUAAAAAUUUCAUCUAUUUAUAUUGUAAAAAAUUGGUGCAAUUGAUAGAAUAACCAGAUAGUGACACGUGACAUGUCAUGUGCACCUAGACUAAUUUUUAAUGGUACAAAUAGAUGUAAUUUUUAACA